rnacentral:lncRNA from 1 species
GUGAUUGAGAAUUAUUUGAUCGUCCUUCUGCAAGGAGAGGGUAAAAUUAUUAUAGAAUCAAAUUGAAUUCGGAAAUAAUAAAUGGUACAAGUAGUGCAAUGCAUGCCAUAGAACGUGCAUCUUACGACUUGUACGUACGUGCACCGCACCACGGCCAUGCACUUUAAACACCCCCAAAAUUCUCGCGGCCAACGCUUACCCCUCUUCUAAUGGCGGAAAGAAUUCCGCCGCCUAUCCCCACCGCCAAAGGCGUCCGAUCCGCGGCGGAUCCGAUCCUAUCCGAACAAAUAGACCGAUCUGCUGCUCAGAUCCCCGAGCUGAAACUUCCUCAACACGUCGCUCGAUCCAAACCAGACGAAAUCAGCUACGAAUCGCUUGUGUCGGGGGAAGAUGAAUCGGUGCGAGGAUUAUUGAGAUCGGUGAGGGAUUUCGGAGCAGUUGGAAUCAGCGAUCACGGAAUUGCAACGGAGGAGCUGAGAUUCGCUUUGGGUAAUUACAGCGAUCGGAUAUUUACGGUCGAGUACCGAACCUGUUAUGUAGAUCACGAGCAGAUUGAAUGGGGCGGCGAUGAUCGCCAGAUUUCCGAAGAGGCUGCGGCGGCGAUCGGUGAGCAGAAUUAUCAGAUUUUCCGGUGAGACAAUUUUCAAAUUUCGGGUUUUACAUUUUACUUGCAAUUCGAAAAAUUCUCAACUUUGGGCC